rnacentral:rRNA from 1 species
UACGAAGGGGGCGAGCGUUGUUCGGAUUUACUGGGCGUAAAGGGCGCGUAGGCGGCCAGCGCAAGUCAGUUGUGAAAUCUCCGGGCUUAACUCGGAACGGUCAACUGAUACUGCGCGGCUAGAGUGCAGAAGGGGCAACUGGAAUUCUCGGUGUAGCGGUGAAAUGCGUAGAUAUCGAGAGGAGCACCUGCGGCGAAGGCGGGUUGCUGGGCUGACACUGACGCUGAUGCGCGAAAGCCAGGGGAGCGAACGGG